CUGAUAAAUCGCAUUAAUAUUCUCCUACAUAGUAUUAUAUUUAUAUAUUUAAUAAGACAUUGUAGUUCUACAGUGUCACCUUGCCUGUUCUGCUUUUAUUUUGAAAGGUGUCGUUUUCUUCUUAUGUUUUUUGUGACGCUAAACUUCCUGCUAUUUUUCUCUUCACAAUGUGGUGCUCACGCGUCGUCGGAAGAACGGUAAAAAACUGGUAAACACGUUAUUUAUCAUGUUCAUCUAUUUGAAUCUUGUAAAGAAGGAGUUUACAUUGUGAUUUUAUUAUUUUCGUAUUGUUUGUACAUGUUAUUUCUAAGACCUACGAACUGUGAGCGUGUGUCGAGCUAGAGAGCGUGAUAGCUGAUGGCGAAAACCAUUUGAUUAGCGUCCUUGGAGAGCGGAAUGAGUUUUCACGGUGUUCAUGGUGCAUGGUGCACGUUGAGAGGAAUAAUAAAUCGACACCCGUUUGAAA